rnacentral:rRNA from 1 species
UGCGAGUCGAGCGUUUCUAGCUAUGUUGAGACGCGGCAUACGGCUCAGUAACACGUGGCUAACCUACCCUCAGGACGGGGACAAACCCGGGAAACUGGGGCUAAUAUCCGAUAGGCGAGGAAUCCUGGAAUGGUUCUUCACCCAAAGGACAUUGGAAACAUGCUUUCUCUGUCGCCUGGGGAUGGGGCCGCGACCGAUCAGGUUGUUGGUGAGGUAAUGGCUCACCAAGCCUUUAACCGGUACGGGCCAUGAGAGUGGUAGCCCGGAGAUGGGUACUGAGACAAGGACCCAGGCCCUACGGGGCGCAGCAGUCGCGAAAACUCCGCAAUGCACGAAAGUGUGACGGGGCUACCCCGAGUGCCGUCCGCUGAGGAUGGCUUUUCCUUGGUGUAACUAGCCGGGGGAAUAAGGAGAGGGCAAGACUGGUGUCAGCCGCCGCGGUAAUACCAGCUCUCCGAGUGGUAGGGAUGAUUAUUGGGCUUAAAGCGUCCGUAGCCGGCUUAGCAAGUUUCCUGUUAAAUUCAGCGACCUAAUCGUUGAGCCGCGGGAAAUACUACUAGGCUAGGAGGCGGGAGAGGUCGACGGUACUUCUGGGGUAGGGGUGAAAUCCUAUAAUCCCGGGAGGACCACCAGUGGCGAAGGCUGUCGACUAGAACGCGCUCGACGGUGAGGGACGAAAGCUGGGGGAGCGAACCGUAUUAGAUACCCGGGUAGUCCCAGCUGUAAACGAUGCGGGCUAGGUGUUGGGGUGGCUACGUGCCACUUCAGUGCCGCAGGGAAGCCAUUAAGCCCGCCGCCUGGAGAGUACGGCGCAAGGCUGAAACUUAG